AGAGCAGGUGAGGCUAACGGCCAGGGGAAGGCCCGGAUCCAGUAUGCUGUGGUCCUGACUGACGGCCACAUCACUGGCAGCCCCUGUGGAGGCGUCUCACGGGCCGCCGAGGCUGCCAAGGCAGCAGGCAUCAAGAUCUUUGUAGUGGCCACCAACGAGGAAACCAUGGAGAGUGAGCUCAAGCAGAUCGCCAGUUCUCCUGUGGCGUGUAUAGGAAGGACUACAUGGCAUUCCCAGCUAGCAACCGCCAGGCAGCUGUCAACAGGAUAACUGACACCAUGAUCAAAGAGGCUGAAUUUGAGUGCCAAGCUCCUAUGUGCAUCCAACAGAAGGAGCUGCCGGGCUGAAAGGAUACAAGGGAAUGAAAGUAAAUAAGC